rnacentral:rRNA from 1 species
GACGAACGCUGGCGGCGUGCUUAACACAUGCAAGUCGAACGGAAAGGCCCCCUUUUGGGGUACUCGAGUGGCGAACGGGUGAGUAACACGUGAGUAACCUACCCUUCUCUUUGGGAUAACUUCAUGAAACUGGGGCUAAUACCGGACAGGAGCUCCUGCUGCACGGUGGGGGUUGGAAAGUUUCGGCGGUUUGGGAUGGACUCGCGGCUUAUCAGCUCGUUGGUGGGGUAGUGGCUCACCAAGGCUUUGACGGGUAGCCGGCCUGUGAGGGUGACCGGCCACAUUGGGACAGGGGAGCGGCCCGGACGCCUACGGGAGGCAGGGGUGGGGAAUAUUGCACAAUAGGCGGAGGCCUGAAGCAGCAACGCCGGGUGCGAGAGGACGGCCUUCGGGUAGGAACCCGCUUUCGCCUGUGACGAAGCGUGAGGAACGGUAAUGAGUAAAGAAGCACCGGCAACCUACGG